UCCGUUAAGAUGUAAUGGUUAACGUUAUCGCCUGUCAUAAGUGUAAACGGUAUGUACCCGAUAGCUCAGGGUUCGAUUCCCUGUAAUGGAA